AAAAACAUGUCUACUAAGAGGUUAUUUGUAGUCUAGCCUGCUCAGUGAUAUUAAUAUUAAAUAGCCGCGGUAUUCUGACCGUGCAAAGGUAGCAUAAUCAUUAGUUUUUUAAUUGAAAGCUUGUAUGAAUGGUUGGACAAAGAAACAACUGUCUCUUUUAUUAAAAUUGAAUUUAACUUUUAAGUGAAAAGGCUUAAAUUUUCCGGGGGGACGAUAAGACCCUAUAAAGCUUUAUAAAUUUAUAGACUUUAUAUAUUUAAAAUAAAAAUAAUUUCUAAAACAUUUAUUUGGUUGGGGCGACAAAAGUAUAAUUUCAAAUAACUGCUAUUUUAAAAUUACAAUAAUUUUUGUUUUAUGAAUAAUUGAUCCUUCUAUGAGGAGUAAAAGUUCAAGUUACUUUAGGGAUAACAGCGUCAUUUUUUCUGAGAGUACUUAUCGAAGAAAGAGUUUGCGACCUCCGAUGUUGAAUUAAAAUGUCUUUGUAGUGCAGCAGCUGCAUAAGAAGGUCUGUUCGACCUUUAAUAUUUUACGUGAUCUGAGUUCAGACCGG
rnacentral:rRNA from 1 species